GCAGGCUGCAACCCGCCUGCAUGAAGUCGGAAUUGCUAGUAAUCGCGGAUCAGCAUGCCGCGGUGAAUACGUUCCCGGGCCUUGUACACACCGCCCGUCACACCAUGGGAGCCGGUAAUACCCGAAGUCAGUAGUCCAACCUCGUGAGGACGCUGCCGAAGGUAGGAUUGGCACUGGGGCGAAGUCGUAACAAGGUAAC
rnacentral:rRNA from 1 species